AAUUUCCACAAGGGGAGCCAUAUUGGCUGAGAGUGAACAAAUCUGUUCAGACCCUUCGAACCUGUAAGUUAAUGCUUACGCAGGAAUGUGGAUGGAAACGGAC
rfam:Jeotgalibacillus malaysiensis strain D5, complete genome.